GUGGGGAAUCUUGCGCAAUGGGCGAAAGCCUGACGCAGCCAUGCCGCGUGAAUGAUGAAGGUCUUAGGAUUGUAAAAUUCUUUCACCGGGGACGAUAAUGACGGUACCCGGAGAAGAAGCCCCGGCUAACUUCGUGCCAGCAGCCGCGGUAAUACGAAGGGGGCUAGCGCUGCUCGGAAUUACUGGGCGUAAAGGGCGCGUAGGCGGACCGUUUAGUCAGAGGUGAAAGCCCAGGGCUCAACCUUGGAAUUGCCUUUGAUACUGGCUGUCUUGAGUACGGGAGAGGUGAGUGGAACUCCGAGUGUAGAGGUGAAAUUCGUAGAUAUUCGGAAGAACACCAGUGGCGAAGGCGACUCACUGGCCCGUUACUGACGCUGAGGCGCGAAAGCGUGGGGAGCAAACAGGAUUAGAAACCCGAGUAGUCC
rnacentral:rRNA from 1 species